UGAACGCUGGCGGCGUGCCUAACACAUGCAAGUCGGAUGUGCCGCAAGGUGCAUGGCAGACGGGUGAGUAACGCGUGGGGAAUCUACCUCUUUGUGGGGAAUAACGCUCCGAAAGGAGUGGUAAUACCGCAUGAGAUCCAAGGCUGGGAUGUUUUGGAUGAAACCUGGGGACCGCAAGGCCUGGGGCAAGGAGAGGAUCCUGCGUCUGAUUAGCUAGUUGGCGGGGUAAUGGCCCACCAAGGCGACGAUCAGUAGCCGGCCUGAGAGGGUGAUCGGCCACACUGGAACUGAGACACGGUCCAGACUCCUACGGGAGGCAGCAGUGGGGAAUUUUGCGCAAUGGACGAGAGUCUGACGCAGCAACGCCGCGUGGGUGAUGAAGGUCUUCGGAUCGUAAAACCCUGUCGUCAGGGACGAAGGCUGGGGGGUGAAUAGCCCUUUAGCUUGACGGUACCUGGAGAGGAAGCCCCGGCUAACUCUGUGCCAGCAGCCGCGGUAAUACAGAGGGGGCAAGCGUUAUUCGGAAUUAUUGGGCGUAAAGGGCGCGUAGGCGGCUUUUUAAGUGAGAUGUGUAAUCCCCGGGCUCAACUUGGGAACUGCAUCUCAGACUGGAAGGCUAGAGUGCUGGAGAGGGUGGUAGAAUUCCACGUGUAGCGGUGAAAUGCGUAGAGAUGUGGAGGAAUACCAGUGGCGAAGGCGGCCACCUGGACAGCAACUGACGCUGAGGCGCGAAAGUGUGGGUAGCAAACAGGAUUAGAUACCCUGGUAGUCCACACUGUAAACGAUGAACACUUGGUGUGGAGGGAGUUGACCCCUUCCGUGCCGGAGCUAACGCGUUAAGUGUUCCGCCUGGGGAGUACGGUCGCAAGG
rnacentral:rRNA from 1 species